rnacentral:rRNA from 1 species
AAUCACCUGUCUUUUAAAUGGAGACCUGUAUGAAUGGCACGACGAGGGCUUGACUGUCUCCUUUUUCCAGUCGAUGAAAUUGAUCUCUCCGUGCAGAAGCGGGGAUACUAACAUAAGACGAGAAGACCCUAUGGAGCUUUAGACGCCAGGACAGACCAUGUCAAGCAACCCCAGACAAGGGGUCAAACCAAAUGCACCCUGUCCCAGUGUCUUUGGUUGGGGCGACCGCGGGGAACUACAAAACCCCCACGUGGAAUGGGAAUACCCUCCUACAACUGAGAGCUUCCGCUCUAGUGAACAGAAAUUCUGACCAGCAAGAUCCGGCAACGCCGAUUAACGGACCGAGUUACCCUAGGGAUAACAGCGCAAUCCCCUUUUAGAGCCCA